rnacentral:rRNA from 1 species
UACAGAGGUGGCAAGCGUUGUUCGGAAUUACUGGGCGUAAAGGGCGCGUAGGCGGCCUUGUCAGUCAGACGUGAAAUCCCCAGGCUUAACCUGGGAACUGCGUCUGAUACUACAAGGCUGGAGUUCGGGAGAGGAAUGUGGAAUUCCAGGUGUAGCGGUGAAAUGCGUAGAUAUCUGGAGGAACACCGGUGGCGAAGGCGGCAUUCUGGACCGAAACUGACGCUGAGGCGCGAAAGCCAGGGGAGCAAACGGG